rnacentral:tRNA from 1 species
ACCUGGCUGGCUCAGUUGGUAGAGCACGCAACUCUUGAUCUUGGGGUUGUGAGUUUGAGCCCCACAUCAGGUA